rnacentral:lncRNA from 1 species
ACAAUACAAAACCAUGAGAGUUCGAUUCACAUCAAAAUCAAUUUUCAAUAAUGGGAUAUAAAUUAGGCAAGAUAAAUUACUAUUAAGCACAUUAAAUCAUAAAAGACAUGUAAAUCAUCCAAAAAAACAUGAAUACAAUUUUUCAUGGAUUCUAUAUAGAAAACAUAGACCUAAUAGAAGUGGUUUCAAUAUUUUAUCAGUUUUCUGCUAUUUAUUAUGCAAAUAAUAAGAUUAAGACAACAAACAAGAAAUAGAUCUAAAACAGUUUGAAAACUAUAUAUUCCACUUAUACAAGUUGUAGAUCUGGAGCAUACAUG